rnacentral:rRNA from 1 species
CCUACGGGGGGCAGCAGUGAGGAAUAUUGGUCAAUGGGCGCGAGCCUGAACCAGCCAAGUAGCGUGAAGGAUGACUGCCCUACGGGUUGUAAACUUCUUUUAUAAAGGAAUAAAGUGAGGCCCGUGUGCCUUUUUGUCUGUACUUUAUGAAUAAGGAUCGGCUAACUCCGUGCCAGCAGCCGCGGUAAUACGGAGGAUCCGAGCGUUGUACGGAUUUAUUGGGUUUAAAGGGAGUGUAGGUGGGGUUGUAAGUCAGUUGUGAAAGUUUGCGGCUCAACCGUAAAAUUGCAAUUGAUACUGGCAGCCUUGAGUACAGUUGAGGUAGGCGGAAUUCGUGGUGUAGCGGUGAAAUGCUUAGAUAUCACGAAGAACUCCGAUUGCGAAGGCAGCCUACUAAACUGCCACUGACAUUGAUGCUCGAAAGUGUGGGUAUCAAACAGGAGUAGAUACCCGGGUAGUC